rnacentral:lncRNA from 1 species
CAAGCAGCAGUACUUUGCGUCGUGUCGUGCAAGCUGAUUUGAAAUUGCGAUUUAAGGAUAAGAAGUGCUGGACAGCGCAGUUAGUUCAAGCAUUCCAGGGAUUGCGCAAAUCUGAUACCUAUGAGCAGGCUGUACAGACAGGAGAGGCUAUUUCCAUCAAUGAUUUUACAGCUGAUUUGAGACACAGGCUGCACGGAGUCUGGAGAGAAGCUGAGUCGGUGGAUCCCAGGGGAAACAACAACAAGCUUGUGAGCUAUCAGGCAUGGUUUGU